UACGUAGGGUGCGAGCGUUGUCCGGAAUUACUGGGCGUAAAGAGCUCGUAGGUGGUUUGUCGCGUUGUCCGUGAAAACUCACAGCUUAACUGUGGGCGUGCGGGCGAUACGGGCAGACUGGAGUACUGCAGGGGAGACUGGAAUUCCUGGUGUAGCGGUGGAAUGCGUAGAUAUCAGGAGGAACACCGGUGGCGAAGGCGGGUCUCUGGGCAGUAACUGACGCUGAGGAGCGAAAGCGUGGGGAGCGAACAGG
rnacentral:rRNA from 1 species